UACGGAGGAUCCGAGCGUUAUCCGGAGUAACUGGGCGUAAAGAGUUGCGUAGGUGGUGAUUUAAGCAAAUAGUGAAAUCGCAUGGCUCAACCAUGCGGCUAUUAUUUGAACUGGAUUACUUGAGAACAUGAGAGGUAGAUGGAAUUCCCUGUGUAGGAGUGAAAUCCGUAGAUAUAGGGAGGAACACCAAUGGCGUAGGCAGUCUACUGGCAUGUUUCUGACACUGAGGCACGAAAGCGUGGGGAGCGAACCGG
rnacentral:rRNA from 1 species